AUUGAACGCUGGCGGAAUGCUUUACACAUGCAAGUCGGGCGGCAGCGCGGGGGCAACCCUGGCGGCGAGCGGCGAACGGGUGAGUAACACAUCGGAACGUACCCUGUCGUGGGGGGUAACGAAUCGAAAGAUUCGCUAAUACCGCAUACGACCUGAGGGUGAAAGCGGGGGAUCGCAAGACCUCGCGCGAGAGGAGCGGCCGAUGGCGGAUUAGCUAGUUGGUGGGGUAAAGGCCCACCAAGGCGACGAUCCGUAGCGGGUCUGAGAGGACGGCCCGCCACACUGGGACUGAGACACGGCCCAGACUCCUACGGGAGGCAGCAGUGGGGAAUUUUGGACAAUGGGGGCAACCCUGAUCCAGCCAUUCCGCGUGAGUGAAGAAGGCCUUCGGGUUGUAAAGCUCUUUCGGCAGGAACGAAACGGCGGGCUCUAACAUAGCCUGUCAAUGACGGUACCUGAAGAAGAAGCACCGGCUAACUACGUG
rnacentral:rRNA from 1 species